rnacentral:rRNA from 1 species
UAAAAACCCCGACUUCGGAAGGGGUGUAUUUAUUAGAUACAAAACCAAUGCCCUUCGGGGCUCUUUGGUGAUUCAUGAUAACUAUACGAAUCGCACGGCCUUGCGCCGGCGAUGGUUCAUUCAAAUUUCUUCCCUAUCAACUUUCGAUGUUUGGGUACUGGCCAAACAUGGUUGCAACGGGUAACGGAGGGUUAGGGCUCGACCCCGGAGAAGGAGCCUGAGAAACGGCUACUACAUCCAAGGAAGGCAGCAGGCGCGCAAAUUACCCAAUCCCGGCUCGGGGAGGUAGUGACAAUAAAUACUGAUACAGGGCCCUUUCGGGCCUUGUAAUUGGAAUGAGUACAAUUUAAAUCCCUUAACGAGGAACAAUUGGAGGGCAAGUCUGGUGCCAGCAGCCGCGGUAAUUCCAGCUCCAAUAGCGUAUAUUAAAGUUGUUGUGGUUAAAAAGCUCGUAGUUGAACCUUGGGCCUGGCUGGCCGGUCCGCCUCACCGCGUGCACUGGUCCGGCCGGGCCUUUCCCUCUGUGGAACCCCAUACCCUUCACUGGGCGUGGCGGGGAAACAGGACAUUUACUUU